rnacentral:misc_RNA from 1 species
GACACUGAAAGUUCCAUAAGCUGCAAAUACCAAGAAACAGCAGUAUGAAAUAUAUCCAGGACCAUAAAAUACCAUAAGUAUCAUACACUUUCCCACACCACCCGAGGCAGAAACUAUGGCCAAUGAAAUUCAAGUACAAAAAUCAAUUAGGAACAUUUGGUACAUUCCCAUGUGACAACAUGCAAAGAUGCAUUGGAGGCUGAGAAGGGUGAUAUGAUAUACGGCAUGCAAAAUCAUACCCCCAUCCCAAAGAGAGGAACAAAUGAAAUAAAAGAAUCAAGAAAACCUACACGCACGCAUUAACAAAAGUCCCACAGACAGUUCUACAUCAUUCCAACUUUGCACAAUUUAUUUCAAAAAAUGUUGCUCAACACAAGGCUCAGUUGAGUGGAGUUGCCCGAAACUAAAUAUGGAAUGUGGUAUAUUAGACUGUAUCAGUAAGUAAUAAUUAAUUUUUCCAAGUCAAAUUAUGCAAUAUACAAGUAUCUUCUGCAAAAGAGUGAAAAGUCGAUAACAUUCACAUGAAGACUCCACUGCUUAAAAGAAAC